GUAGGUGGCGAGCGUUGUCCGGAAUUAUUGGGCGUAAAGCGAACGCAGGCGGGAGAAUAAGUCAGCUGUGAAAGCCCCCAGCUUAACUGGGGAAGUGCAACUGAAACUAUUUUUCUUGAGUGCAGAAGAGGAGAGUGGAACUCCAUGUGUAGCGGUGGAAUGCGUAGAUAUAUGGAAGAACACCAGAGGCGAAGGCGGCUCUCUGGUCUGUAACUGACGCUGAGGUUCGAAAGCAUGGGUAGCGAACAGGAUUAGAUACCCUGGUAGUCCAUGCCGUAAACGAUGAGUGCUAAGUGUUGGGAGGUUUCCGCCUCUCAGUGCUGCAGCUAACGCAUUAAGCACUCCGCCUGGGGAGUACGACCGCAAGGUUA
rnacentral:rRNA from 1 species